CCCUUAGAUGUCCUGGGCCGCACGCGCGUUACACUGAUGCACUCAACGAGUAUAUAACCUUGGCCGAGAGGCCUGGGUAAUCUUGUUAACUUGCAUCGUGAUAGGGAUAGAUUAUUGCAAUUAUUAAUCUUGAACGAGGAAUUCUUAGUAAUCGCAGUUCAUCAAACUGCAGUGAUUACGUCCCUGCCCUUUGUACACACCGCCCGUCGCACCUACCGAUUGAAUGGUCCGGUGAAGACUCGAGAUUGUGGUCUAGCUCCUUCAUUGGGGCUUGACCGCGAGAACCUGUCUAAACCUUAUCAUUUAGAGGAAGGUGAAGUCGUAACA
rnacentral:rRNA from 1 species